rnacentral:rRNA from 1 species
GAUGAACGCUAGCGGCAGGCUUAAUACACGCAAGUCGAGGGACAGCACAGGUAGCAAUACUGGGUGGUAACCGGCAAACGGGUGCGGAACACGUACACAACCUUCCUUUAAGUGGGGGAUAGCCCAGAGAAAUUUGGAUUAAUACCCCGUAAUAUAGUUGAAUGGCAUCAUUUGAUUAUUAUAGCUACGGCGCUUAAUGAUGGGUGUGCGGCUGAUUAGAUAGUUGGCGGGGUAACGGCUCACCAAGUCUACGAUCAGUAGCUGAUGUGAGAGCAUGAUCAGCCACACGGGCACUGAGACACGGGCCCGACUCCUACGGGAGGCAGCAGUAAGGAAUAUUGGUCAAUGGACGCAAGUCUGGACCAGCCUUGCCGCGUGAAGGAUUAAGGUCCUCUGGAUUGUAAACUUCUUUUAUUUGGGACGAAAAAGGGCCUUUCUAGGUCAACUGACGGUACCAGAUGAAUAAGCACCGGCUAGCUCCGUGCCAGCCGCCGCAGUAAGAC